CAGUAGCCGCGGGAAUACGAGGGGGGCGAGCGUUGUUCGGAAUUAUUGGGCGUAAAGGGUGCGUAGGCGGUUUGGCAAGUUUGGUGUGAAAUCUUCGGGCUCAACUCGAAGUCUGCAUCGAAAACUGCCGGGCUUGAGUAUGGGAGAGGUGAGUGGAAUUUCCGGUGUAGCGGUGAAAUGCGUAGAUAUCGGAAGGAACACCUGUGGCGAAAGCGGCUCACUGGACCAUAACUGACGCUGAUGCACGAAAGCUAGGGGAGCAAACAGGAUUAGAUACCCCAGUAGUCCCUGUCUCUUAUAC
rnacentral:rRNA from 1 species